UUUGCCAAAUGUCUUGGUGGAGCAGGAGUGAUGGUAAAGAGACUGGAUUAGGCAAAGGACAAAAAAGCAACUUGUGACUCUAUCGGGGGAGAUGCUUCCCCAUCAGAGAGCUGUAAUUAGUUGGUCCUUGGCUGGUGUGCACUCAUUGCCUGCUACCAAUUGUCUUCAGAACCUCAGAACAUUCAGUUUUCACCUCUGAAAAAUUGAUUGCAAGUGUCGAUGAACCUCCCACUGGUGGUCAGCUCCCAAGGGUGGGGGGGUCACUUAUUUUAUUUAUAUUUUUUUAUUUUAUUUAUUAUAAGACAGUAUCUCACUAUGUGGCUUUAACUCUCAUGGAAUUCACUCUGUAGCUCAGCCGGGCCUUGAACUCAUAAGAUCUGCUGGACUCUGAAUCCUGAAUGCUGGGAUUAAAGGAAAGGGGAGGUACGUGCCAAGACACAUGCCGAAGUCAGAGGACAACUGUGAGAGUUGGCCGUUCACCUAGUAGUCUCCAGGAUCGAUCUUAGGUCUUCACGCUUGGCCGCAAGCGCCUUCACACACUGAGCCAUCCAGGUGGCCACGGUGAUAGUCUUGAAAAUAUUAUUAAGUAAAGUUUCAGUGCAUUUUAAAAUUAUUUUAAAAUUAAAAAUAAACAUUUUUAAAUGAUUUUUUCCC